GAUGAACGCUGGCGGCGUGCUUAAUACAUGCAAGUCGAGCGAACGGACGAGAAGCUUGCUUCUCUGAUGUUAGCGGCGGACGGGUGAGUAACACGUGGAUAACCUACCUAUAAGACUGGGAUAACUUCGGGAAACCGUAGCUAAUACCGGAUAAUAUUUUGAACCGCAUGGUUCAAAAGUGAAAGACGGUCUUGCUGUCACUUAUAGAUGGAUCCGCGCUGCAUUAGCUAGUUGGUAAGGUAACGGCUUACCAAGGCAACGAUGCAUAGCCGACCUGAGAGGGUGAUCGGCCACACUGGAACUGAGACACGGUCCAGACUCCUACGGGAGGCAGCAGUAGGGAAUCUUCCGCAAUGGGCGAAAGCCUGACGAAGCAACGCCGCGUGAGUGAUGAAGGUCUUCGGAUCGUAAAACUCUGUUAUUAGGGAAGAACAUAUGUGUAAGUAACUGUGCACAUCUUGACGGUACCUAAUCAGAAAGCCACGGCUAACUACGUG
rnacentral:rRNA from 1 species